rnacentral:rRNA from 1 species
GAUGAACGCUGGCGGCGUGCCUAAUACAUGCAAGUCGAACGCUGGAAAUCUAGCUUGCUUGCUUGAAGGAGUGGCGAACGGGUGAGUAUUACAUAAGCAACCUACCCACGAAGGCUGGGAUAAUCUCUGGAAACGGGGACUAAUACCGGAUAGGUAAUCGGAAGGGAUCUUCUGAUUAGUAAAAGUUAAUAUCACUGGUGGAUGGACUUAUGUCGCAUUAGUUUGUUGGUGAGGUCACGGCCCACCAAGACGAUGUUGCGUAGCCGGCAUGAGAGGGUGACCGGCCACAUUGGGACUGCGGCCCAGCCCACACUCCUACGGGAGGCAGCAGUAGCUUAUUUUCAGCACUGGGGGAUUACCUGACCGAGCAACGCCGCUUGAGUGAUGCCGGCCUUCGGGAUGUACUGCUCUGUUGUAAGGGAAGAACUGUAGAUAGCUAAUCACUAAAUGACGGUACCUAACCAGAAAGCCACGGCUAACUACGUG